GGGGAAUAUUGCACAAUGGGCGCAAGCCUGAUGCAGCGACGCCGCGUGAGCGAAGAAGGUUUUCGGAUCGUAAAGCUCUGUCCUCUGGGAAGAAAAAAUGACGGUACCAGAGGAGGAAGCCCCGGCUAACUUCGUGCCAGCAGCCGCGGUAAUACGAAGGGGGCUAGCGUUGUUCGGAAUUACUGGGCGUAAAGCGCACGUAGGCGGGCAUUUAAGUCAGGGGUGAAAUCCCAGAGCUCAACUCUGGAACUGCCUUUGAUACUGGGUGUCUUGAGUAUGGAAGAGGUAAGUGGAAUUCCGAGUGUAGAGGUGAAAUUCGUAGAUAUUCGGAGGAACACCAGUGGCGAAGGCGGCUUACUGGUCCAUUACUGACGCUGAGGUGCGAAAGCGUGGGGAGCAAACA
rnacentral:rRNA from 1 species